UACAGAGGUGGCAAGCGUUGUUCGGAAUUACUGGGCGUAAGGGCGCGUAGGCGGCCUUCUAAGUCAGACGUGAAAUCCCCCGGCUUAACCUGGGAACUGCGUCUGAUACUGGGAGGCUAGAGUAUGGGAGAGGGAUGUAGAAUUCCAGGUGUAGCGGUGAAAUGCGUAGAUAUCUGGAGGAACACCCGUGGCGAAGGCGGCUCUCUGGGACGGUACUGACACUGAGACGCGAAAGCGUGGGGAGCGAACAGG
rnacentral:rRNA from 1 species